UAUUCCUGUACCACCUAUAAUCGUUUUAAUCGAUGGGGGGACGCAGUAGGAUAGGCGAAGCGUGCGAUUGGAUUGCACGUCUAAGCAGUAAGGCUGAGUAUUAGGCAAAUCCGGUACUCGUUAAGGCUGAGCUGUGAUGGGGAGAAGACAUUGUGUCUUCGAGUCGUUGAUUUCACACUGCCGAGAAAAGCCUCUAGAUAGAAAAUAGGUGCCCGUACCGCAAACCGACACAGGUAGUCAAGAUGAGAAUUCUAAGGUGAGCGAGCGAACUCUCGUUAAGGAACUCGGCAAAAUGACCCCGUAACUUCGGGAGAAGGGGUGCUCUUUAGGGUUAACGCCCAGAAGAGCCGCAGUGAAUAGGCCCAAGCGACUGUUUAUCAAAAACACAGGUCUCUGCUAAACCGUAAGGUGAUGUAUAGGGGCUGACGCCUGCCCGGUGCUGGAAG
rnacentral:rRNA from 1 species